rnacentral:rRNA from 1 species
AAUUCGCCCUUGAGCACGUAGGUGGGUUUGUAAGUCAGAUGUGAAAGCCUUCUGUUCAACGGAAGAAUUGCAUCUGAAACUACAAGUCUUGAGUGUAGGAGGGGAGAAUGGAACUUCUGGUGGAGCGGUGAGAUCCGUAGAUAUCAGAAGGAACGCCGGCGGCGAAAGCGAUUCUCUGGCCUAUUACUGACACUCAGUGUGCGAAAGCUAGGGGAGCAAACGGGAUUAGAUACCCCGGUAGUCCUAGCCGUAAACGAUGGGCACUAAGUAGAGGGGAUUACCGACGUUCUCUCUUCCGUAGCUAACGCAUUAAGUGCCCCGCCUGGGGAGUACGGCCGCAAGGCUAAAACUCAAGAGAAUUGACGGGGGCUCGCACAAGCGGUGGAGCAUGUGGCUUAAUUCGAUGCAACGCGAAGAACCUUACCGGGGCUUGACAUGGUAGAAGUAGGAACCCGAAAGGGUAACGAACGGUAUCCAGUCCGUGACUAUCACAGGUGUUGCAUGGCUGUCGUCAGCUCGUGUCGUGAGACGUUGGGUUAAGUCCCCUAACGAGCGAAACCCUUGUUUUUAGUUACCAGCGGGUUAUGCCGGGUACUCUAGAAAGACUGCCGUCGUCAAGACGGAGGAAGGUGGGGAUGACGUCAAGUCAUCAUGGCCCUUAUGCCCCGGGCUGCACACGCGCUACAAUGGUCGGUACAAACGGAAGCGAAGCCGAGAGGUGAAGCGAAUCCAAGGGCGAAUU